rnacentral:rRNA from 10 species
GUUUAUGGCCAUACCAGCCCGAAUGUGCCCAAUCUCAUCUGAUCUCAGAAGCAAAGCAGGGUCAGGAUUGGUAGGCUUUAAAAA